CAAGAAGAUCUAUGGGACCAUCCCUGGCUACGAGGGCGUGGAGAUCACCAGCCUCAGGUCCGGCAGCAUCGUGGUGGGACACCGCGUGUUCUUCACCAUGGCCGAGAGCGGCAACACCGCGGAGAAGUUCCAGGAGAUCACGGAUGGGUUGUUGGAGAAGCUCCGGGAGACGGAGGCGAGCCAGGGCGACUGCCAGCACGACACCUCCGUGCUGUGCCUCGUGCUGAGACCCAACCCCGUGGUCAGCGGCAUGGAGAAGGUGUCGGACCU